AGUGAACGCUGGCGGCGUGCUUAACACAUGCAAGUUGAACGAGAACGGGUUAUAGCUUGCUAUAAUUGUCAGCUAAGUGGCGCACGGGUGAGUAAUGUAUAGGUAAUAUGCCUCUUACUAAGGGAUAAAAAAUGGAAACGUUUGCUAAUACCUUAUACUCCUUAUUAACAUAAGUUAAUAAGGGAAAGAUUUAUUGGUAAGAGAUUAGCCUGUAUUGUAUCAGUUAGUUGGUGGCGUAAUGGCUUACCAAGACUAUGACACAUAACUGGUUUGAAAAGAUGAUCAGUCACACUGGAACUGAGACACGGUCCAGACUCCUACGGGAGGCAGCAGUGGGGAAUAUUGCACAAUGGACGAAAGUCUGAUGCAGCAACGCCGCGUGGAGGAUGACACAUUUCGGUGCGUAAACUCCUUUUAUAUGAGAAGAUAAUGACGGUAUUAUAUGAAUAAGCACCGGCUAACUCCGUGCCAGCCGCCGCGGUAA
rnacentral:rRNA from 1 species